GCGGGAGUAGCUCAGUGGUAGAGCACAACCUUGCCAAGGUUGGGGUCGCGGGUUCGAGCCCCGUUUCCCGCUCCA
rnacentral:tRNA from 1 species